AGCCGCCGAAGGUGGGGCAGAUGAUUGGGGUGAAGUCGUAACAAGGUAUCCCUACCGGAAGGUGGGGAUGGAUCACCUCCUUUCUAAGGAG
rnacentral:rRNA from 1 species